AUGGCUGCAGCCUGCAGGGAUGGGGAUCACUCGACGUGUGUCUUGUAUAUUGCCAAGUUUCCCCUAAUUCUCUGCUGGCUUCUAUAAAUACCACCGCUCUCCUCAAACCCUUCCUCCACCCUGCUCACAACCAAUGUCAUAGAAAGCCACUAGUUGCUUCCCGUUGAUGAAAAAAGAAACGAAAAAAGUAUGGAAGAAUCUGUUAAGCUCAGGAGGGAUAGCGCCAUGGAGUAAUAGCAGUGGCUUUUGAUUCUUCUGUUCUGUAGCGCUAUCCAUCCUGAGUUCCACCGGUUCUUCUUGCUCUCUCUCUCUCUCUCUCUCUCUCCCCGUCCUGGCCUUCUGCAGGUGCAGCAGCAAGCUAGCAGUCUUUACCAAAGAGAUCAAGGAGAGAAUGUUCAUGAGGGAGCAAGGGCUGCUGUUGACUAAACUUUCCAACUGCGUGGUGUGGCCGGCGUUACAUCGUAUGUCCCCAAAUUCGAGCUUUUCUGAUAUUUAUUCCAUCUUCUUCAGGUACUGAGACGUCCACGCUUCCUUUGCCGCUUCCACUAAUAUUAUGUCACUCAGCACAGUAUCUUCUUCCUCUUCUUUUUUUCUUUUUCCUUUUUAAUCUAUAUAUAUAUAUAAUAUUGCAUAUAUAUAUAUAUAUAUAUGUAUUAUAAAAAUUUUAUGUGUAGUCAUUUUUGUAUAUUUUUUUACAUACUCUAUUAAUGUGAUUGAUUGUAUAUUAAAAAAAUUAAUGCAGUCAAUCACAUCAGUAGAGUACGUAAAAAGAUUAUAAAAGUGACUGUAUGUAACAUUACUCUCCUAGCUUAGAUCUAUGAAAUCGGAAGCUUUUGCAAAUUUCAGAUGAAAAUCCCUGAAAUUAAUUUUUUUUUUUUUAAAAAAAAGGACAUAAAGAAAGAAAAGAAAAGAGUUUAUGCAAGGGAGUGAGAAACAAAUGUACCCGGUAAAUUAAUGUUUUUUUACAAAUUGAAGUCGACCUGUCAAUUUACUUUAUUUGUAUUACUGGCAAAACUUGAUAAGGAUUUUAAACCUAGAUGAAAAUAAUAACUUUCAGAUUAUUAUAAGAUAACCCUCCUUCUAUAUCUUUAAAAAAAGCAAUUUGAUUGAUGACAUUUUGUAUAAUAUCUUACAAAUAGCAUAGCUGCCAUGUUGGCACAUUAGUUACAUUCUAUUGGUUGUAUAAGUUUUAGUUUUACUUUGACUUUUGAUGUAAAUACCUCACACAUGCCCUUCAUAACAGUGGCAAGAAAAUACAAGGUUUCAUCACAAAA